rnacentral:miRNA from 1 species
GUGAGGAGAAGGAAGAGGCUGAAGGC